rnacentral:SRP_RNA from 1 species
GGAGGCUGGCGGUGGACGGAUUCCUCGCCAACCCGGUCAGGUCCGGAAGGAAGCAGCCGUAACGAGAUUCGAUCCGGGUCGCUGUUCAGUCUCCCAC